rnacentral:sRNA from 1 species
UACCUACAGGUUUGCAGGUUUAUACGUGA